UACGGCUCAGUAACACGUGGAUAACCUGCCCUUGGGUCCGGCAUAACCCCGGGAAACUGGGGAUAAUUCCGGAUAACGCAUAUAUGCUGGAAUGCUUUCUGCGUAAAAUGGAUUCGUCUGCCCAAGGAUGGGUCUGCGGCCUAUCAGGUAGUAGUGGGUGUAAUGUACCUACUAGCCGACGACGGGUACGGGUUGUGAGAGCAAGAGCCCGGAGAUGGAUUCUGAGACAUGAAUCCAGGCCCUACGGGGCGCAGCAGGCGCGAAAACUUUACAAUGCGGGAAACCGUGAUAAGGGGACACCGAGUGCCAGCAUCAUAUGCUGGCUGUCCGGGUGUGUAAAAUACACCCGUUAGCAAGGGCCGGGCAAGACCGGUGCCAGCCGCCGCGGUAACACCGGCGGCCCGAGUGGUGAUCGUGAUUAUUGGGUCUAAAGGGUCCGUAGCCGGUUUGGUCAGUCCUCCGGGAAAUCUGAUAGCUCAACUAUUAGGCUUUCGGGGGAUACUGCCAGGCUUGGAACCGGGAGAGGUAAGAGGUACUACAGGGGUAGGAGUGAAAUCUUGUAAUCCCUGUGGGACCACCUGUGGCGAAGGCGUCUUACCAGAACGGGUUCGACGGUGAGGGACGAAAGCUGGGGGCACGAACCGGAUUAGAUACCCGGGUAGUCCCAGCCGUAAACGAUGCUCGCUAGGUGUCACGCAUGGCGCGACCGUGUCUGGUGCCGCAGGGAAGCCGUGAAGCGAGCCACCUGGGAAGUACGGCCGCAAGGCUGAAACUUAAAAGGAAUUGGCGGGGGAGCACAACAACGGGUGGAGCCUGCGGUUUAAUUGGACUCAACGCCGGACACUCACCGGGGGCGACAGCAAUAUGUAGGCCAAGCUGAGACUUUGCCUGAUCGCUGAGAGGAGGUGCACGGCCGUCGCAGUUCGUACUGUGAGCAUCCUGUUAAGUCAGGCACGAGCGAAAACCCGGUGGCCCACUGUUUACCAAGCAUAUUCCUUCC
rnacentral:rRNA from 1 species